AUUGAACGCUGGCGGCAGGCCUAACACAUGCAAGUCGAACGGUAACAGGAAGAAGCUUGCUUCUUUGCUGACGAGUGGCGGACGGGUGAGUCAUGUCUGGGAAACUGCCUGAUGGAGGGGGAUAACUACUGGAAACGGUAGCUAAUACCGCAUAAUGUCGCAAGACCAAAGAGGGGGACCUUCGGGCCUCUUGCCAUCGGAUGUGCUCAGAUGGGAUUAGCUAGUAGGUGGGGUAACGGCUCACCUAGGCGACGAUCCCUAGCUGGUCUGAGAGGAUGACCAGCCACACUGGAACUGAGACACGGUCCAGACUCCUACGGGAGGCAGCAGUGGGGAAUAUUGCACAAUGGGCGCAAGCCUGAUGCAGCUAUGCCGCGUGUAUGAAGAAGGCCUUCGGGUUGUAAAGUACUUUCAGCGGGGAGGAAGGGAGUAAAGUUAAUACCUUUGCUCAUUGACGUUACCCGCAGAAGAAGCACCGGCUAACUCCGUG
rnacentral:rRNA from 1 species